rnacentral:rRNA from 1 species
GCGGAGGAAAAGAAACUAACAAGGAUUCCCCUAGUAACGGCGAGUGAAGCGGGAAGAGCUCAAAUUUAAAAUCUGGCAGGCUACGCUUGUCCGAAUUGUAAUCUCGAGAAGUGUUUUCCGCGUUGGCCUGUGUACAAGUCCCUUGGAACAGGGCGUCAUAGAGGGUGACAAUCCCGUCCUUGACACAGACACCCAAUGCUUUGUGAUACACUCUCAAUGAGUCGAGUUGUUUGGGAAUGCAGCUCAAAAUGGGUGGUAAAUUCCAUCUAAAGCUAAAUACUGGCGAGAGACCGAUAGCGAACAAGUACCGUGAGGGAAAGAUGAAAAGCACUUUGGAAAGAGAGUCAAACAGUACGUGAAAUUGUUGAAAGGGAAACGAUUGAAGUCAGUCGUGCCUGCCUAGUCUCAGCCUUUUGGUGUACUACUAGGUCGGCAGGUCAGCAUCAGUUUGGGAGGAUUAACAAGGGAGUUAGGAAUGUGGCAACCUCGGUUGUGUUAUAGCCUAGCUUCGCAUUGAUCUUGCUGGACUGAGGAACGCAGUGCGCCCGCAAGGGUUGGUCUUCGGACACAUUCGCACUUAGGAUGCUGGCAUAAUGGCUUUAAACGACCCGUCUU